CAGAGUGGGAGCUCUAGAAAGAUUGUUGACCAAUGAUCUUACUGACUAGAUCAUCCUUCUAGAGUAUGACUAUUUU
ensembl:miRNA